UUUACCUUUGUAAAGAAAUCUCAUUGUUCUCUGCUGUCUUUACCGACGACAUCUUAGUCCUGAUUUAUACUUCUG